rnacentral:ncRNA from 12 species
AAGGAUAGAGGUUGAGAAUCUGUCACCAACGCGCCACUUAUAGUGGGUCGAGAAAUGCAGGAGCCCCGAUAGUCCUGCCUAUCCUU